rnacentral:rRNA from 1 species
AACGGACGCUGGCGGCAUGCUUAACACAUGCAAGUUGAACGCAGAAUAAGCCUUCGGGUUUAUUGCUGAGUAGCAAACGGGUGAGUAACGCGUGGGAAUCUACCUUUAUGUGGGGGAUAACUAAGGGAAACUUUAGCUAAUACCGCAUACGCUCUAAGGAGGAAAGGCUUCGGCCGCAUAAAGAGGAGCCGCGUCAGAUUAGGUAGUUGGUGGGGUAAAGGCCUACCAAGCCAAUGAUCUGUAGCUGGUCUGUGAGGAUGAUCAGCCACACUGGGACUGAGACACGGCCCAGACUCCUACGGGAGGCAGCAGUGGGGAAUAUUGGACAAUGGGGGAAACCCGUGAUCCAGCAAUGCCGCGUGAAUGAUGAAGGCCUUAGGGUUGUAAAGUUCUUUCACCUGUGAAGAUAAUGACGGUAGCAGGAGAAGAAGCCCCGGCAAACUCCGUGCCAGCAGCCGCGGUAAGACGGAGGGGGCUAGCGUUGUUCGGAAUGACUGGGCGUAAA